AUUGAACGCUGGCGGCAGGCCUAACACAUGCAAGUCGAACGAGUGGCGGACGGAUGAGCAAUGUCUGGGACAGUGACUGAUGGAGGAGGAUAACAACCGGGAACGAUAGCCAAUACCGCAUACCAUACGAUGUGCCCAGAUGGGAUGAGCUUGUUGGAGGGGUAACGGCGCACCAAGGCGACGAUCCCUAGCUGGUCUGAGAGGAUGACCAGUCACACUGGAACUGAGACACGGUCCAGACUCCUACGGGAGGCAGCAGUGGGGAAUAUUGCACAAUGGGCGCAAGACUGAUGCAGCCAUGCCGCGUGUAUGAAGAAGGCCUUCGGGUUGUAAAGUACUUUCAGCGGGGAGGCGUUACCCGCAGAAGAAGCACCGGCUAACUUCGUGCCAGCAGCCGCGGUAAUUC
rnacentral:rRNA from 1 species